rnacentral:rRNA from 1 species
GGACGGGUGAGUAAUGUCUGGGAAACUGCCUGAUGGAGGGGGAUAACUACUGGAAACGGUAGCUAAUACCGCAUAACGUCGCAAGACCAAAGAGGGGGACCUUCGGGCCUCUUGCCAUCAGAUGUGCCCAGAUGGGAUGAGCUAGUAGGUGGGGUAACGGCUCACCUAGGCGACGAUCCCUAGCUGGUCUGAGAGGAUGACCAGCCACACUGGAACUGAGACACGGUCCAAACUCCUACGGGAGGCAGCAUG